CCCCUUGUGCUUCACCUUGCCCGGGUGCUGUAGGACAUCUCUGGAAGAAGCUGGAGGUUUGGGGUUCAGCAGAGACCUCCUUGAGAGAGACAGGCCAGGAGAAUGGUGAGAAUGGCUCCACCCUGCCGUGGCAGCAAACUGUUUGGGCUGCUCCUCUCCAGAUGCUCCUGCUCUGGGGAAAGAGGCCAGAAAAAGGGAGGAAAUUGUCGCCGUCCAUAUAUAUAUCUCUUUACCCCCAAAAAGAAGGAAAAGAGAAAAUGUUUCUCCUGAUUUGAAAUCUGAGCUCACUGGAGGUGCUCCAGAUGUGCUAUGGGGCUUAACGCUCGUUGCCAUUGGUUUCAGAGGGCUUUGAGUAGGGCUUUUCAAAGCUCCUAAAGUCCAGCUUAACUUGUAAAUAAACCUAUAAACCUGGUGCCAUCGAGCUAAAUAUUUGCAGCACCAAGUGCCCGUGCUUUUCCCCGUUUAUUUUGUAGCUGAGUCUUUUGAACGACCUCCCCUCUUCCUUCUGCCCCCCCCAGCUCUCAAAUAUUUUACAUGGGAGGGAAAUAUGUUUUGCACAGAAAGAUUUAUUUUAAGUGCACAGUCUUCUUUAUAGCGAAAACUGUUACGGCAGAAAGGUUAGUUGUUACAGCACAGCAUGAUUUUCUUUCAGGUUAAUCCAAACAAAAAAGAAAAAAAUGAAGAAUGGGAAAGGCAUCCUGUAGAUUGUGCUGGUGCAGUGGCCUUGAGAGGGAACGACCUCCUUUCCUCUUCCCCAAAAUCAUGUCCCCAGCAACCAGUCGCUCUCGCUGGACCCCACAAGAAGUGCUUGUGGUGCCCCUGGUACGAGCAGAGUUUGUAUUUGAGGCCGUGCAAGUGAAACCUGGCUCUAGCUGUGGCUUCAGUUUGCCAAGGGUGGAGACACAUCAGAAUCACAGGUAAGAAGGUAAGAUGAUGUCCUGGUGAUGGUCCGUGGUGGCAUUUUCUGAAUUAUGUCUGAAUUAUUUGCAUAAAGGGUUGCUUUCU
rnacentral:lncRNA from 1 species